UACGUAGGUGGCAAGCGUUGUCCGGAUUUACUGGGCGUAAAGAGCGCGCAGGCGGUCGUUCAAGUCGCGUGUGAAAGCCCCCGGCUCAACUGGGGAGGGUCACGCGAUACUGAUCGACUCGAAGGCAGGAGAGGGUAGUGGAAUUCCCGGUGUAGUGGUGAAAUGCGUAGAUAUCGGGAGGAACCCCAGUGGCGAAGGCGACUACCCGGCCUGUUUCUUGACGCUGAGGCGCGAAAGCUAGGGGAGCAAACGGG
rnacentral:rRNA from 1 species